rnacentral:rRNA from 1 species
GCAUAUCAAUAAGCGGAGGAAAAGAAACUAACAAGGAUUCCCCUAGUAACUGCGAGUGAAGCGGGAAGAGCUCAAAUUUUAAAUCUGGCGGUCCUCGUGGUCGUCCGAGUUGUAAUCUAGAGAAGCGUUUUCCGCGCUGGACCGUGUACAAGUCUCCUGGAACGGAGCGUCAUAGAGGGUGAGAAUCCCGUCUCUGACACGGACUACCAGGGCUUUUGUGAUGCGCUCUCGACGAGUCGAGUUGUUUGGGAAUGCAGCUCAAAUUGGGUGGUAAAUUCCAUCUAAAGCUAAAUAUAGGCGAGAGACCGAUAGCGAACAAGUACCGUGAGGGAAAGAUGAAAAGAACUUUGGAAAGAGAGUUAAACAGUACGUGAAAUUGCUGAAAGGGAAACGCUUGAAGUCAGUCGCGUUGGCCGGGGAUCAGCCUUGCAAUCUUGUUGGGUGCAUUUCCUGGUUGACGGGUCAGCAUCAAUUUUGACCGUCGGAGAAGGGUUGAGGGAAUGUGGCAUCCUUCGGGGUGUGUUAUAGCCUUUGAUCGUAUGCGACGGUUGGGAUUGAGGAACUCAGCAUGACCCCUCGUGGGUUUGGGGCUUCGGCUCACAUCCAUGCUUAGGAUGCUGGCAUAAUGGCUUUAAGCGACCCGUCUUGAAACACGGACC